UUUAAAUAAAAAUUGAUAGUUAGUCACUUUGACUAGUUUCACAAAAUAUUUUUAUAUGCAAUAGUUGUACGAUACACAUUUAGUAUAUUUAAUAAACAUUUCACAAAUUUAAAUACAAAGAAAUGGUUACUCACUUUGAUUAAUUUCAACAUGAAAAUGAAUGUUUCAGUACAAAUAUAAAAUCGAUUUAAACGAUAUACAAAAUAAGAAAAAAAUGAAUAAAAUACAGACAGCCUUUUAUAUCGACGAAAAGUUCAUUUAAUUCGCUGUCGAGAGAGUCGAAACGCGCGAGGUUCGCGGAAACUUACGCAAUCGGCGCCGGAGUAAUUUCAAAAGUGUCGAUAAUUGUGAAUGGGAAGGAUGAUAAUUAUUGCUUAUUGAAAGACCGAUUUAUUGCUCCGCUGGCUGCGAUUAAGUAUGAAAAAUCGGCUACGAAAUUUUCGCCUGCUAACCGUGAGAAGCCCGAGGUCUAAUCGCGAGGCAGUAAAUCACGUAACGCGUUUGUACGAGAACGGCGCGAUAGACGCAAUAAACCUCACUGCACAUGUCGCAUUUCUCGUUGAAUUAGUGUUGAAUAACGGUGAACGUUCGGUGAAUACUAAUGAGUACUUCGUAAACAUUGAAUGGGACGCGUUCGUUCACGAACGGCAAUUCACGUAGCGAUGCACGAAACGUAAGGUCGAGAGCGUGGGUUUCUCAGGGCGCAUCGUGUCGUUGCGCCGCAGGAAGAAGGAAGCGCGCGAAGCGAUCCUGGUAUAAACGAGCCUAAGUAACGGUGAGCCAGCGGCGAACGAAAUGAGUGUGCCGGUGAAACUCGAGCGUAGUCUGAGCCGACCUCUGUAAAGGUCGCUCCGCGAUGCUCCUACGAAGAAAGUGAUCCGAUAAAGAGCACCCAGAAGCGACCAGUAAUCAGGAGAUGCGACAGAAAGCAACACGAGCCAAUGCAACAACGAAGAGUAACUAGCUCAUACGAGAGAUGCUCCGAUGAUCGAGCGAAAGUGAAGCCUCAGGCCCAAGGAUUCCCCUCACUUCCUGCGACCCUGCAACAUUAAUAUCCGAGAAACUCGGAUGCAGUGCACAGAGAGACGUGACUCGGUGUCCAAGAAUAUUACCAGUCAUUGGGAUCGAUGAGUCUGGUCGAAUCGCGUCUGCCAUCAAGGAAAUCGAGACUUUUCCUCGCGAAGAAUAGUUACUUUAAUGUCACUUGACCCUAGACUUGACUCGAGAGCUCAAUGCACCUUCGUGGAAUUUGAUCAUCCUUGGAGAUCCAAAGAAAUAAUUGCAAGAAGUUUCGUGAAAUUUUAAUCUGUUUUUUUUUAAGGAUCAAAAGUCAUGUAUUGUAUGAAUGUUUGUUUAAUUUAGGUGCAAUUUAUAUAUAUUCUUUUAAGCAUGGAUUCUAAAUUAUGGCACUUGACGAAAAUACAAUUGUAUCGAUUCUAAUUAAUCAAAA